ensembl:lncRNA
GCUUGGUGUUAUCAGGAACACCUGAGCAGCUCAGUGUCUUCCUGCUUUAUUUAGCUGCAGACAAACAUUUCCUCUGUUUCUCUUCACCAGUGAACUGGGUUUGGCUCCAUUGCUUUAGUUUGUUCUUUAGGCGUUGGUUUGCAGCUUCCAGCAGUAAAAUAGACUUUAAUGUGUUUCUUGGUGUGUUUCAGGGCUUUGUAUUGCAUAGUUGUCUUGGUAAAUGAGGUUCUUUAGCCACAGUUAGCACAUGGUGCUAAUGUGUGCAGUGAUUAGUGGAUUUGGUGCAGCUGAGUUGUGUCUUUAUCUUGGCUGUAGUGAGUCUUCAGAGGUUUUUGGUCAGACACAUUCUGUAUUCUUGUUUGUGAACCAACGUUGGUUGUCCAGAAGGUAAGAGUUCCUGUCCUGAUUCUCUGUUCUCAGAGCUUCUCUGGUAGGCUGCAGGAGACUUUAGCGUUUGGGUUGUGCUAGUUUGGUUUUUGUAUGGUUUCAUUUGGACGACUAUCUUGAGGCUCCUCCAUGUGGUUUAGUGAGGUUUUCUGGAACAGUUCUACAAAGCAACCUGCAGCAGAAGAGACUUUGAGAUUUUUAGGAAGUUCUGGAGACCAGACUUUAGAGCAGCA